rnacentral:rRNA from 1 species
GUGGGGAAUAUUGGACAAUGGGGGCAACCCUGAUCCAGCGACGCCGCGUGGGUGAUGAAGGCCUUCGGGUUGUAAAGCCCUUUCGACGGGGCCGAUGAUGACGGUACCCGGCGAAGAAGCACCGGCUAACUCCGUGCCAGCAGCCGCGGUAAGACGGAGGGUGCUAGCGUUGUUCGGAAUCACUGGGCGUAAAGGGCGCGUAGGCGGCCCAUGCCGUCGGCUCGUGAAAGCCCGGGGCUCAACCCCGGAGGUGCGGCCGAGACCCAUGGGCUGGAGGCCGGAAGAGGAGGGUGGAAUACCCAGUGUAGAGGUGAAAUUCGUAGAUAUUGGGUGGAACACCGGUGGCGAAAGCGGCUCUCUGGUCCGGUCCUGACGCUGAGGCGCGAAAGCGUGGGGAGCAA